rnacentral:rRNA from 1 species
CGGAUUGAAGGCUGAAAUUCGCCUUCAUGAAGCCGGAAUUGCUAGUAAUGGCAGGUCAGCAUACUGCCGUGAAUACGUUCCCGGGCCUUGUACACACCGCCCGUCACACCAUGAGAGUUGGGGAUACCCGAAGCCUGUGAGCUAACAGUAAUGGAGCAGCAGUCGAAGGUAGAAUCAAUGAUUGGGGUGAAGUCGUAACAAGGUAGC